UCCGUAUUCCCCGCUGCCUACUGCCUUCCUUAUUCCUUGGCGUGAGCCCUCCGCCGCCUACCUCCUCACCACCACCUAGAUCAAUCCGAUUAGACGAGGAAGCAAUUUCCAUCCUAUCCUACCUCCUUCCGACUUCCAAGCUCUCUUCUCGCAGAAUCCUAGUCGCUUGUACCCACGCCCCACCCCACCCUAAUCCUUUUCCUUGCUUCAAGUCCACCCCUUACCACUGUCGACCUCUUCCCCAUCUUCCUCCCCACAUCAACCAAGCUACUAGUACAAGCUCAUCUCCGAUCGAGAACCUCUUCCCUUGGUCGUUUGAAUUCAAGGUUUUGGGAGAGCUCUCACACCCCAAAGUUCCUUUUUUUGGCUAUUGUUUAGGUUUUUGGGUUGUUGAAUGGCGAUGGAGGAUGCAACAGAGAGUUGCGACAGUUGGGAUGUGGUGGAUUUGGCUCGCAUACAUACUCGGCAGAAACUGCAACACCGUGUUUAACCAGUUCCUUAGCUACCACCAUCUUUACUCCGAUGUAUGCGCCACCUUCACAUUGCGUUGUUGCGGUUCCACGAAGUCACCACCUACACCGCAGGUGCCUGUGCUAUUGUAGCCUAUAAUCACAUAAGUUUAGUAUAUGGAAGAUUCCUAUGAGUGAUUCUUCUAUAGAACUUCCUAAAGGUAAAACUGUACUAAAUUUUUCGGUCUCCAUUUUAUCUCACUGCAUUAGGAAGCAUGCUUGAUGGAAAUUGUAUAACUUUUUUUUGUUAUCAUAUUUUUUGGCUUGUCAGAUAUUGGGGCAAUGACUUUUUUUUUGUUAAGUAAGAAUUUCAUUAGACAUAAAGUUGAUAUUUGUUCUUGUUCUUGAUCGUGCUAAUGGAUUACCUAUAUCUAAGGAUUUUGAGCAUGUUAUCCAUUUAGAAUUGCUAAAGUCAAAUUCUAUAACUAUGCACCAAACUAUUCAUCUUUUUAUUGACAUAUUUUCAAUUAGAAAAAAUUUCAUAAAAUUAUUGUUCGAAGGAUAUGGAUGCAUUAUGAUACUGUAGGUCUGAAAUAAUUUUAGUAUAGUUUUUUAAGGCUUGGAAUAAUUAUAGUAUGAUUAUUAAAUAAAAUUUUUUAAGGGUAUGGUGUAAGUUAUAAUUUAAUAGUCAUUCUCAAAUCUUAAUUUAUUUCUUAUUUUUAUUUUAUAUGACAUUCACAUUAUUGCAUAGAGGAGGUCAAGUGGAUGAGGAUACUUAUGCAAGAGCAAUAUGUUUUACUUGAAAUGCAGGUAGCUUCUUUGAACUGAUGUUGUUGAUAAGAUUGAGUAGUUCCUUGAGGUGAUUAAUAAGAUUGUCUCAACAAAAUUGGUUGGUUUGUUACUUUCUACAAGAGAAACAAUUCAUCUCAUGGAGUUCGAAGACAUGCUGCUAGCAAGAGGAUGGAGGAAAAAAUUAUUGAAUGAAUAAAUUUGAAGCUCGUUAUCACAAAAAGUAGGAAAGGGAGGAAAAGCUUAUCAAGAAAGGUAGACAAAGAGAAGAAAAUCUCAAGAAGAUGAUUCGUAAAAUGAUUCAAAAGGUAGAAUAUACAAAUCAAUUUUAUCUAGGAGGAUCUGGUCCCAUGGGCAUCAUGAUCGACAAUGUAAAAAUUAAAUUACUUAUGGUGAGAUUUAAAAAUCU